rnacentral:ncRNA from 2 species
CUUUUUUGCCGAUUAUCAGGUGCAAGGAAAGUGGAGUGAAAAGCUCCCGCGGACCCGCCGCUGUAACGGGGGACUGACCUUUCAACGCAGUACCCACUGCCGGAUGUUCCACAGAGACAAAUCCGACGGGAAGGGAGGAAGGUCCGGAACGAUCCCGAAGCCAGAAAGCCUGCCUGAUAAUCCUAACCGGC